rnacentral:rRNA from 1 species
UACGGAGGGUGCAAGCGUUAUCCGGAUUCACUGGGUUUAAAGGGUGCUUAGGUGGGCAGGUAAGUCAGUGGUGAAAUCCCCGAGCUUAACUUGGGAACUGCCGUUGAUACUAUCUGUCUUGAAUACUGCGGAAGUAAGCGGAAUAUGUCAUGUAGCGGUGAAAUGCUUAGAGAUGACAUAGAACACAAAUUGCGAAGGCAGCUUGCUACACAGUAAGUGACUCUGAGGCACGAAAGCGUGGGGAGCAAACAGG